ensembl:lncRNA
CAGUGUGCAAACAGGUUAAGGUGAGCUAUGUGUGACUGUGCAGCAAGUCAGCUCCCACACUGCCAUUCUCACCAGCUGCAAUAGUAGCUCAGAGGCUGUGCCUCACGACUUCAUCCCUCCCUGCUGAGGGGAGAUGGGAACAUCAUUAUCAGCUGCCGAUGAUUUGGAGCCAGCAGUGAAAAUGUCCUCGGAUGUAGGGCUCCUCCUCCGCCCCAAGGGUGACUCGAACCUGCUGGGAAGAUGGAGGAAGAGCUGGAGGGGGGAGAUGAGAAGAAAGAGGUGCAAAUUCAACCACGUCUCUAUGAUGAUGUCAUGGCAACAAGCUACAGCCGUUCCUUGGGGCCUUGUGUCUGAAACGUGAGUCCGGACUGAAUUCAGCAAACUUCCCGGAGCAAGACGCUGUGUUCCCCCACCCAGGGAAGCCAUCUGCUCCUCUCCACCAGCUCCUUCUGCGGGGCUCCGGGCUCGCCAGCCGGGCUGGAAAGCUCUCCUCCUCCUCCUCCUCCUCCUCCUCGCUUGCCCCGGCUCUCCCCGGCCAUCUUGCUAGCAGAAGGCUGGGGAACGCGGGGCUGGCUGGAUCUGGGGCGGUGAUGGUGUCAGCCGGAGGCGGUUUCCAGGCAACUGUGGCGCCGUGGGACACGGAGCCAAGAACGCCGGGAACAGCGCGUUCCCGGGCGGGGAGCGGGACACGCGCGGAGCGAGCCGCGCAGGGAUGGCGGCACAGGAGAGCAGGGGGCUGCAGAGCAUCCCCUCCUGCCCGCUGAUCAUCGUACCCGCCCCGGCUGGGAGCGAGCAUUUCCGAGCUGGCUGCUGGUGCAUCACGCGAUAAGGAAGGGCUGCGUGAUGUACGGGAUUUCACGUGUCUUCUGCAUCCCUUGGAGGAUCAAAGGGAAAAGAAACAUUGUGCCAGACUGUACCCCAGCCCCCAGACUUAUUGCAGGUGGUCCUGUGCUUCUCUGUCCUUUAUCAAAUACAAAGCUCCACCACUACAAGUCUUAAAACAUUUUUGUGCAUGCAUCGCAGCUCUGUGUCUCUGGGUGCCACUGAAAAAGUGAAUUUCUUGUAAAAAUAAAUGCUCUUCCUUUCCACGAGUUCCCCAGCACCUGGUGCAUCCCACUGCCCCUCUGUGCUGAUGCCCAAGGCAGUAUCCCCACUCCUGCCUGCCUCUCUCCCAUACCUGAUUAACAGGCCCUGGGAGCAUCCCUGCCCCUGAAAUUCACCUGCCUGGUAGCCCUUCUUUACACUGCCUGCCCAGUGAUGUCAAUACUCACAUCCCCUUUGUUUUAUCCAGUUUGAGUGGUUUUUGAGAGGAGGCUUGAGAAGAGCUGAUUUUCAAUGGAUGAGGGAGGGUGAUAAAAUUGAUAUGGCUGAGCUCUGGGAAAAAAAUUGCUCUGGAUUCUGAGAGAGAAGUGAUGAUGAACAUGGGGAAUGGGGCUACAUAGUGCUUGGCAGGGUGUGUGCUGUAGAGGGGCAGAACCAUUUUAAUGCCCUGUAUUCAAGGAAAUGUUGUGCAGCACUGUGCAGGUGAGAGCACAGAGAGGCAGGACGGUGGGGAGUCAUCUGCAGCCAUUGUUGUCCCUGAGCCAGCCUUGCAGCUAUUGAUUUGGAGCUUGCCCCAUUCACUCUAACCUUGGCAGUGCCAGCUUGACCCUUAUCAGUGCUGAUAAACCCCACCACAACCUCCUGUCCCGUCCUGGUGGUGUCACACAGUGAGGUACCGUGGUGACAGAUCUUUCCUGCCACUCUGCCCUUGCACCAGUUGCUCUUUUGCUGCGAUGCUCUAAAUCCAGGAAACCUCUCUCUCCUAUUCUUGCACGGAGGCUGCAGCCACACCAUUGUUAACCCUUGCUG